CCCAGGUCAUGUGCACACUCUAUAGCUGGUGGGUUGGUGUCUGGGGCUAGGAGAAGCUGGCUAGACAUACAAUUGUCCUGACAUUGGCAGGUAGGAUUUAGCUAGGAAGCUUCUGUAGAGCAAGGCAUACCUGUGUUGGCCCUAGAGGGGGAUGGGAUUACUUCCUGAUACCUGAAGCAGCUGGUCACCAGUGGGCUUUGGGACAAACCAGUAUUGGUAGGUGGUCAGGAUACAAUCCUGACUUAAUGAAGAGAAAAGUGAACUCCUGGCACCCUCCCCAGUUUUCUCGGGGCAGUCAUAGAUGGAGCUCCAUUAUUUACCUUCCCCAUUUCAUGACCACUUCUGCAUUGUUCUCUCCACGGUCCAGGCCAAGCCAGGUGUUUGCUUUCAAACUGGAUUUGUCCGCUCUUUGUAAACCACACUCCACACCGAGGACGGCUCUGCUCCUGAGAUCGCCAGGCACGUUUUGUCUAGGCACCAGGAAAUCAACCAGCCAGGCCUGGUCUGCACGGACUAAGCAGUUAUCAGAGGAUUCAUAGGAAAGAGAAAGCCCUCUAAGGGUAAGAGAUUUGGCCCUGGUACAUACCUUAAUCACAGGAGAUUAAGCUGGAGCCUUUUGAGGGGCAAACUUUCUUUUUCCCUCCCUUUAUUCUCUCUCUCUCUCUCUCUCUCUCUCUCUCUCAACAAAGGCAGAGGGAGAAGCAGGCUCCCUGCAGGGAGUCCAACGUGGUACUCAGUCCCUGGUCUCCAGGAUCACCCUCUGGGCCGAAGGCAGCGCUAAACCACUGAGCCAUUCAGUCUGACCUCUUUUUCUUUUUUCUUUCCCUCCUUCCUUCCCUCCCUCCCUCCUUCCUUUCUUGAUUUUAUUUAUUCAUGAGAAACACAGAGAGAGGCAGGGACAUGGGCAGAGGGAGAAGCAGACUCCCUCUGGGGAGCCUGAUGUGGGUCUGGAUCACACCCUGAGCCAAAGACAGACGCUCAACUACUGAGCCAUCCAGGUGGCCUGAGGGGCAAACUUUUUAAAGUUUAAAUUGUUGGGAGGGCAACCAAUGAAAUAACUGGUUCAGGCAGGGAUCCUCAAUGAGUACCAAAAUCAUUCAGUAAAAAUUAGUUGAGAACAGGAUAAUUGCAUGGUGCCUAACCCCACAGAAUCAUUUGCUAAUCACAAGUGGGGGGGGGAAGCUUUAUAAAGUAAAAAUCUGUGAUCAACAGAUUUGUUGCUAAUUUGUGACCAAAUUUAGCAUCGUUAUUAGAGGGACAUAUUAUGGGGUUCCUGAUGUCACAUGAUGUGAAAUGUUCUUGCCCCAAAUGUUUAAUCUUAAUCUAUUCAUCUAAAUUUUUCAACCAUGGUUCUGGGAAAGAAAUAAGCCCAGUGACUUAAAGGCAUCUGUAUUAGAGUUCUCUAGAAAAACAGAACCAAUAAGGGAGUGUGUGUGUGUGUGUGUGUGUGUGUGUGUAUCAGAUUUGUUAUAAAGAACUGACUCCUACAAUUAUGGGGACUGAGAAGUCUAAGGAAUUACACUUGGCAAGCUGAAGACCCAGGAGAGCCGAUGGUAUAAGUUCCAGUCUGAAAGUCAAUAGAUUUAAGCCAUAAGAAGAGCCAGUGUUUCCUUUCAAGCCUGAAGGCAGGAAAAUAAUAAUGUCCCAUCUCUGCAGCAGUCUGGUAGGAGUUCGUUCUUACUCAGUGGAGGGUCAGGUUUUGUUCUCUUCAGGCCUUCAACUGACUGGAUGAGACUCACCCACAUUAGGGAGGGCAAUCUGCUUUACUAAGUCUACCAAUUCAAAUGUUAAUCUCAUCCAGAAACACUCUCAUGGCAGCAUCUAAAAUAAUGUUUGACCGAAGGUUAUGGGCACAGAGGAGGACACUUGAUGGGAUAAGCACUUAAACUAUAUAUUGGCAAAUUGAAUUUAAAUAAAAUAUUCUAUAAAAUAAGGUUUGACCA
rnacentral:lncRNA from 1 species